ACUGUUUUGGCUGCCCCACCGAGGCCAGUCACUCUCCCAACGAGAGAGUCACCAAACGCUGCUGCUGCUGGAGGAGAGGGGAAGAGGAGGAGGAGGAGGAGGAAGAAGAGGUGGUGAAGGGGGUGAGGGGGAGGCAGGGAGGGUGGGAGAGAAGAGGAACGCGUAAUCUCCCAAACAUCCGUUGUUAACCACUUCACCCCCUCUGGAUCCGUGCGGCAAGGUAAGAAAAAAGCCUGCGCGGCUUGGCCCUCUCUGCAUCGUAAAGUGCACAGGCAGGCGGGUGUAGCAGCUCCUCUCCUCUCCUCUCCGGGGCUGAGGCUGAGGCUGAGGCUGUCUUCCACUGCGGAUAGAGAGCGGAUGGAGGCCGGGCACGGAGCAGGACACCAAGAGGACAUAACAACAAACCUGGCACGGGGCAAACAGUGGAGCGACUUGUGGUUGUUAAGGAGUGGCUGGCACGAGUCGCCGAGCCGGGGCAUGUGAGGUGUAAACGAAGAAGCAACGGAGACGGGAACAGCGGAGGUGUCGGGGCGUCGCACGGCGAGCCUCUCUGAUGUUCUGGAUCACUGGGGGGAAGAUGGAAAUCAGACGUCCGUGGGGAGAAGAAAUUGCAUGCCAACAGCACGUCGUUGGUGGAGUCCUUUUUUUUUCUUCUUUUUUUGUGGAGGCGUGUUUUAAGGAGCUCUGUUUCGUCCUCAUGUGGUCCAUCCCAGGGAUGAAAAAUGGCGCACAGCUGGCUGAGUACUUCCUUCCCCUUGUUGGGGUCAGCAGUUCACCAUGCUGAUAGAGACCCUCACACCUUCUUUAUUAGGAGCUCCUCUGCACUCAGACAAGUUGUUAUUCUGCAUCACUGGACAGCCGUCAGCACUGCCUUUGUCUAGGUUAUCUCUGAUUACAUGACUUCAUCUUUGCAUGAAGAUGAGACUAAGAAAACCUUUACGACACCUCUCCUUUUUCAAAUUACUGUUCACCAUAGCUCCAUCAGAAAGAUUUUGUUAUUACUUGAAAUCUGAACAAGAACAGGGACGUCUAGAUGUGUGCAUUUAAGAAACAGAGCAAUGUUUGCUUUAUAGAUUUGUUUCUCCCCAUCAAAGGAAACUUAGCAUUCAUUUUCUUACCCAGAAAGCUUUGAGUUGUAGAUGUGAAAUGGUGGCCAACUUUGACUUAGUUGGCAACAGUUUCCAGCUAAAUGGUUGGAAAAACCCCUUUGAAACAGUUUCCAACCAGUAUCCAGACAUCUUCUCCAUGUAUCCAAGUGAUUUGUGUAGGCAAAAAAUAAAUUGAGGUCAACGUCGUCCCACCUGUAAUAUACAUCUGAGCUGCCAAGUUAGCCAGUCGAGGUUUAAAUCACUUAAGCAAAUUUAAGUCACAAUACGUUUCCAAUUUCAGUUCUGUUAUGAAUAUAAUAAAAAAAAUGUUUUUCAUUUAAUUGUCUUUUGAAAUUGGCCAAACUCACGUUAUAAGUAUUUUUUGGGGGGAAUUUUGUACUUAUUUUUGACACAUCAGGUUUCAAGAUGCCUUUGCAUGUCAAAGUUAUAUUGGCUUGGGACAUUCCAUACAUUGUAAAUAUUUGCUAGUCAUCAUUCACAGAUAGAUGAAAUUGAGUGACAUUAAACUCUUAAACUUUAGUGUUUUGCAUGAUAUCAGACCAUCUGCAGCUGUAACAACUUCAAAAUCUCCUGUGAAGGCUUUCUAUCAUUUUUAGAAGUGUCUUGUUUUGUUUGUUUUGUGUUGAACAAUUAUCCACAAGAGCUUGGAGUCUCCACUGAUUCAUUCCAAAUCAUUAUCUGUUUGGCUGAGGUCAUGACUGUCCGGUCCUUCCACACCAAACUCGCUCAUCCGUGUCUUUGUGGAUCUUUGUUUUUGUACUGGUCCGCCGUCUCUUCCUGUUCAAACAUGACGGCGCACCAGUUCAGAAAGCAAGAUCCGUGAAAUGGUCAAAAUACAUUUGCCAUGCUGAAGCAAUAAGAGUUGGUUUCAUUGAAAAGUUGCGCCUCAGGAUCCACUAAGACUCACCAAGACUGUGACUUCAUGGCUUAGUUGACAAAUCCUUUCCACUUCCCUAUGAUACCACUGACAGCUGACUACAGAACGAUUAGUAGGCAGGAAAUUUCACAGCUGGACUGGCUGCUUAGGUGGCCUUUCAUCACAAUACACCAGGCUGUAAAAAUAGUCUUGGAUUAGAUUGGUGAUAAUAAAAGUGUCCAAAGUUUGUAGUUUCUUGUGGUGGACUGCAGUCCUUCCACCGUUCACCGGUAAAUAAGGUAAUAAGAUUCAUGAAAGUCAGAGUCUGAAUUUGUAAAAUAAAAAUCCCAACCUCAACUUGAAUAAUAUUUUCCAGCAAGAACUGCAACACUCAGCUUACUUGCAAAACAUGGUGGAAAAAGUAAGUGAAACUUUAGUUGUGGUGCGUUCAUGCAGGUGUAUUAUGAUUAGGAAUGCACAGUAUUAGAUUUUUGGUCGAUAUCCUAACUCAUUUGCCCGAUAACCACUACCAAGUUUUUUCCUGUACUCAUUGAAACUAUAUGGCUUUCUCUACUGUGGAAUUAAAAUACCGCAUUAUCUUUGGCAACUCAACCUGCUACCAAAAGUGGUUGAAAAUGAUGAAACACUUUCAACUUGUGUUAUGUUCAAUGUCAAAUUUAUUCAUGAUAUUUGACAUCGUGCUGUGCUGCAGGCAUCAUUGUCACUGGUUUGUCAUAUAAAAACAACACAUUUUACAUCAGUGAGUUAUUUUGACGGAAUGGCUGAUGUCUGAUAUUAAACUUUUACAGCCAAUAUCAGCCGAUACCAAGACCAUG